rnacentral:rRNA from 1 species
CUUAUACAUGACGGGGCAUUUCGCGUCAUAAAAGAUGACAUGUAGGAGUAUUUUUGUAUUUGUUGUUGCAAAGGAAACCUUUGCAUGUGAUGUUCUAUGUAACCUAAAUAUUACUUACCUACACAAAGUAAAAACAAUUCUAUAAUUCCUUCUCUUGGAUAAUGAGCAAUCAGCGACUUUAGGUGACAGAUGCUAGGGAUCAAUAAUUGCAUUAAAGUCAUACAAUUCUCAAAGCAUAUGAAGGUAAUCGGACUUUGGCAUUGCUAUAGUGGACCCUGAAUACCAACAUAUAUAUUUCAUACGCAAACAUUAUAACGACCCAGAUCAAUGUAAAUGGACGUGAGCUACCCAACCCUCUUUGGAGAUAUUCUGUGAAAUGAAUUCUCCCUUGUCUUUUUCCGUAAUAAAAAAAUCUUUAUAACUUUUUAGGAAACUUGGAUGUAUCCCUGGGCCGUCGUUGAUAAAAACUAGUUCCUAAAAAAUUAAAAUUGUCCUUUGCCAUGUUUUUAUUGUCAGUAAUGUAUGGGACAGUAUCUUGAAUUAUCCAGUGGCUGUUAUUUGUCCAAACUGUCUAUAUUCGCUACGCCGAACUGUGCGAAACCUAGCACUAUUUCUUCUUUUCUGGGACAUGGUUGAUGGCAAAAUCUGUAUUAGUUGUAUGAAUUGAAAUAAGUGGUUGGGACUGCGGUUAUUAGUUCCAAUAAGGAUUGGCCAGGAUUUCCUGUCAUUGCAAGCCCUAAUCCUAUUUUACUUGCCCAAAACACUUCCGAUAAACUAAUCUUGGCGAGUGGGAUGAAGAUGGACUGCCGGAGCAUAUACAGAUCGAAUACAUACGAGAGGAAGAGGCGAGAGCACAAUGAACAUGAUGAGAUGAAUCUCAAUAUAUAUAAUCGGUACAUUCAAUAGUACAGUAUCAAGCAUACUUACUAUAACAAGUUCCCAUUUUUGGUUCCGAUAACAGGAACGGAGUGGUAUAUGGCGAUAUACCACUCGGUGGAUAUUAUAAUAUAUACCACCAAUUUUUUCACUUUUCUUCAUUUUCUGGGAACUACCUCACGCAGGUCCUUUUUCUUUGUCGCAUAUAUUCUAUGCUCCGAUUUUAAUAUAUAUGUACGAGUUUUAAUAUAUCAUGCUUAGAGUACAAUUUUACUCCAGAUGUGCUGUGUUCCCUGUAUUUUAAUAUAUCUGUAUAAUCAUUCAUGCAAUGAUAAAUAUGUAAACUCCAAAGAGUAGACAUUUAACUGUAUACUACUGUGUAUAUACGUUAGGUGCAGGUUUCGGUGACGGUGUUUUAAUAAUAAGUCAUAACAAUAAAUACGUUAUUCAUCAUGAAAUGAGGUAUGGGUAUCCAAAACAAUAAGUACUAAUGUAACUAGACAAGACAAUACAUACAUGUAAUUAAUCCACUAUGAACAAAAACAAGUUAUGUUUAAUUGGUGAAGGGUUUAAUUACAAUAAAUAGUUAACUUUAAUUAGUGUUCUGUCAUUUAUACCAAUGGAGCAGGUUCCAGAUCACAGCUAGUCAAUAACAUUAUGCCUGUCGGGGUAAUCUGACAUUAGGCGAUGCUCAGAGUAUUCACUCAUUGACAUCACACGAGGGAUAUCGUCCCUUAGUAGGACCUCUAUUUUUUAUUAAUGUUAUACCAUAUGUCCUCUCAAUCUGGGAAACAUACUGUCGUGGCAGUUAACUUCAUAUUGGUAAUGACUUAGUCAUAACUAAUGGAGAACCUCGCUCCAGCUUGCCUGUGUGCAGAGAAGGAUCGGUUUGCCGUGCCGAUAAGAGGGAACCUUCUCAUAAGUUGGAAAUGACGGUGAUUCAUCAGAGGCUAUCCAACCCGGAUAGGGAAGCUGUGGGGAUCAACAGUUGAGCUGUAACGGUCAACGGUGUGACGCCUCCAAUCUGAUGGCGAAAUAAGAAUCAUCGCUGAUUCUUCUACUAAUAGCCAAAUGCCUCGUCAUCUAAUUAGUGACGCGCAUGAAUGGAUUAACGAGAUUCCCACUGUCCCUAUCUACUAUCUAGCGAAACCACAGCCAAGGGAACGGGCUUGGAAUCCUCGGCGGGGAAAGAAGACCCUGUUGAGCUUGACUUCAGUUAGGCAUUGUGAAGCGACAUGAAAGGUGUAGCAUAGGUGGGCGUGCAGCAAUGUACGCAAUUGAAAUACCACUACUUUCAUCGUUUCUUUACUUAUUCAGUGAAGCGGGAGACGGGGCCUUCGCGGGCCCAGUUUCUGGCUUUAAGUCCGGCCGCCUCGGCGGCUGGGCGACCCGCUCUGAAGACAGUGCCUGGCGGGAAGUUUGACUGGGGCGGUACAUCUGUCAAAUGGUAACGCAGGUGUCCUAAGGCGAGCUCAGUGAGGACGGAAACCUCACGUAGAGCAUAAGGGCAAAAGCUCGCUUGAUUUUGAUUUUCAGUACGAUUACAGACCGUGAAAGCGUGGCCUAACGAUCCUUUUGAGACAAUAUGGCAUUUAUUGUCGCACUUUACGAGUUUUAAGCAAGAGGUGUCAGAAAAGUUACCACAGGGAUAACUGGCUUGUGGCAGCCAAGCGUUCAUAGCGACGUUGCUUUUUGAUCCUUCGAUGUCGGCUCUUCCUAUCAUUGCGAAGCAGAAUUCGCCAAGCGUUGGAUUGUUCACCCACUAAUAGGGAACGUGAGCUGGGUUUAGACCGUCGUGAGACAGGUUAGUUUUACCCUACCGAUGACGUUUAUUGGUCGUUGCAAUGGUAAUCCUGCUCAGUACGAGAGGAACCGCAGGUUCAGACAGUUGGUCCAUGUGCUUGGUGGAGGUGCCAAUGGUGCGAAGCUACCCUCUGCGGGCUUAUGACUGACCGCCUCUAAGUCAGAAUCCCGUCCAGAGUCGCGACGAUAUCUUGCGCUCGCGCGUUGUUGAGGCUGAUUAUAAGCGCGUAAGCGCGAGUGUUAAGCCACGGCAGACGACCAUAAUGCCAUGCCGUUAUCGCCGGCUGGCUGGUCGAAGAGUUAACUCUUCAGAAGCAAGGUGCGGGCGUGAAAUCGCUGGUAGACGACCCGUUUUUCGGUCUGGGUGUUGUGCGUAGUAGAGCAGCCACCACACUGCGAUCUAUUGAGACUUAUCCUGUGACCCGUGGAUUUGUUCGCAAC